CUGAUUUCUUUCUUUCCUCCUCCAAGGUGGCUCUCAAGUCUGCCGAGGUCUGCUCCUUCUGCAGCACCUCUUGAAGACUCGCGACUUCAACGAUCUUCUCCUUGAGGCAGGCAGAAUCGGCCAAGCGGCCUUCCUCCACCUGGGCGGCCUCCUUCCUAGCAUUGUUCAUCGCUUCGAUGUUGGCGAUGAGCUGGUGUCCAAUCUACAAGAGCGGCCAGGG
rnacentral:lncRNA from 1 species